AUACACAGACCCCAUACACCGCCUGCUACGUUAGGUUAGAUAUACACAGACCCCAUACACCGCCUGCUACGUUAGGUUAGAUACACACAGACCCCAUACACCGCCUGCUACGUUAGGUUAGAUAUACACAGACCCCAUACACCACCUGCUACGUUAGGUUAGAUACACACAGACCCCAUACACCGCCUGCUACGUUAGGUUAGAUACACACAGACCCCAUACACCGCCUGCUACGUUAGGUUAGAUACACACAGACCCCAUACACCGCCUGCUACGUUAGGUUAGAUACACACAGACCCCAUACACCGCCUGCUACGUUAGGUUAGAUACACACAGACCCCAUACACCGCCUGCUACGUUAGGUUAGAUACACACAGACCCCAUACACCGCCUGCUACGUUAGGUUAGAUACACACAGACCCCAUACACCGCCUGCUACGUUAGGUUAGAUACACACAGACCCCAUACACCGCCUGCCACGUUAGGUUAGAUACACACAGACCCCAUACACCGCCUGCUACGUUAGGUUAGAUACACACAGACCCCAUACACCGCCUGCCACGUUAGGUUAGAUACACACAGACCCCAUACACCGCCUGCCACGUUAGGUUAGAUACACACAGACACCAUACACCGCCUGCUGCAGUAGUUUUCAUGAAGCAAAUAUUAAACCUAGGUCACCUCACAAACGUGGUAAUUAACUGCAAUGCCCAUAAUUGGCCAUUGGCCUGUUUCUUUUCUCGGCACGGACAGAGAUGGAUACACUUUAACAUCUGCUCCGUUAA